rnacentral:misc_RNA from 1 species
GUUGCGUAUAUAUCCAUACAUAUCGAUGUGUAUAUAUGUAGGUGUGCUGAGGUGUCUCGGCCUUUUCUCUGUUUCCUUUUUCACUUCGCUUUCUCCUACGUCUCAGCCGUAAUCACGGGGAAACACCUCAGCGCGUCGUAUUCCAGGGCCCCGCACCAACGGGCUGGGGAGGCCAGGGCGAUGUAUCGCUGCUGAUGUUGGCGUUCAGGUCCUGGCUGACGUGGCGUCGGCGGGGCCGGCGACCGUGCACGCGUUUCUCUCACUUAUAUGAUGCGCGAAGUGUCAGGGGAACUCGAGUGUACCCCACGCCCCGCCCUCGCGCUGCGUGCUGGUGUGCGGAGCCGGCGUGUCACCCCGAGGAGGGGGAUGCACCAGGGGGUGGCGGCCGGCACAGUGGGAGCGGCUGUUAGGAGGCGGGUGAGCUGAGCUCGAGGCAGGGACCGUUCGCUGAGAUAACGGAGUCGGCGCAUGGCUGUGACGCGUGUGUGUCGGCGGCUGCCGCCGCACCACGCAGAGAGGGGUGGGGUCUGUGGGAGGCCGGUGAGUAGACCUGAACGAAACUCAUAUUCUCUGACACAGAAUUGACAACCAGGCGUGGUUAUAUACGUGAGCGUUGCAUAGAGUGCGCUCUCAUCGGAAAGGAUGCGUCUCUGAUGUUAUGGUGGAGACGCUGUGGAUACCGAUUAAGCCUGCAUGGGCGAAACCCUGCCGGAAGAGAAGGAUGCGGUUCAAUAAGACGUGGCUCCGACGCGGGUCCGACGCUGUUGCGCGGUUGGCUUUCGGCACGCGCGGUGUCUCAUCGAACGACGCUCGGAACACCAAACUGCUCGCGGGCUCUACUACAACGUGCGCACAUGUGCAUUAUCCAUUCUUGCUCUCCGCUUGCUCCUGAACCUCUUGUCGCACCUUUCCCCCUUCUGUGCAG